UACGUAGGGGGCAAGCGUUGUCCGGAAUCAUUGGGCGUAAAGAGCGUGUAGGCGGCCAGAUAAGUCCGCUGUGAAAUCUCGAGGCUCAACUUCGAGCUGUCGGUGGAAACUGUCUGGCUAGAGUCCGGAAGAGGAGAAUGGAAUUCCUGGUGUAGCGGUGAAAUGCGCAGAUGUCAGGAAGAACACCCGUGGCGAAGGCGGUUCUCUGGGACGGUACUGACGCUGAGACGCGAAAGCGUGGGGAGCGAACAGG
rnacentral:rRNA from 1 species